rnacentral:rRNA from 1 species
AUGCAGCCAUGCCGCGUGUGUGAAGAAGGCCUUCGGGUUGUAAAGCACUUUCAGCUAGGAGGAAAGGUUAUAGGAUUAAUACUCGCAUAUCCUGUUGACGUUACGUCGCAGAAGAAGCACCGGCUAACUUCGUGCCAGCAGCCGCGGUAAUACGAAGGGUGCAAGCGUUAAUCGGAAUUACUGGGCGUAAAGCGUAUGCAGGCGGUUUGUUAAGCCAGAUGUGAAAGCCCCGGGCUCAACCUGGGAACUGCAUUUCAAACUGGCGAACUAGAGUCUUGUAGAGGGGGGUAGAAUUUCAGGUGUAGCGGUGAAAUGCGUAGAGAUCUGAAGGAAUACCGGUGGCGAAGGCGGCCCCCUGGACAAAUACUGACGCUCAGAUGCGAAAGCGUGGGGAGCAAACAGGAUUAGAUACCCUGGUAGUCCACGCCGUAAACGAUGUCUACUCGGAGUUUGGGGUCUUGAACACUGGCUUCUCGAGCUAACGCAUUAAGUAGACCGCCUGGGGAGUACGGCCGCAAGGUUAAAACUCAAAUGAAUUGACGGGGGCCCGCACAAGCGGUGGAGCAUGUGGUUUAAUUCGAUGCAACGCGAAGAACCUUACCUACUCUUGACAUCCAGAGAAUUCGCUAGAGAUAGCUUAGUGCCUUCGGGAACCUCUGAGACAGGUGCUGCAUGGCUGUCGUCAGCUCGUGUUGUGAAAUGUUGGGUUAAGUCCCGCAACGAGCGCAACCCUUAUCCUUAUUUGCCAGCACGUAAUGUGGGAACUUUAGGGAGACUGCCGGUGAUAAACCGGAGAAGGUGGGGACGACGUCAAGUCAUCAUGGCCCUUACGAGUAGGGCUACACACGUGCUACAAUGGUCCGUACAGAGGGCUGCAACCCGCGAUGUGGAGCUAAUCUCACAAGCCGUCGUAAUCCGGAUCGGAGUCUGCCACUCGACUCCGUGAAUCGGAAUCCCUAGUAAUCGUAAAUCAAAAUGCUACGGUGAAUACUUUCCCGGGCCUUGUACACCCGCCCGUCCCC